GGAGGAAUUUUUCCCCGCUCCUCACUCCGCGGGGAACGGGGAUUCCCUGCCCCACCCCCCAUUCCUAUCUUCCCCUCUCUUUUUCUCCUCCCUUUCUUCUUUUCCCUUUCCGUUUUCCUCCCUCCCGUUGUUUCAGCCCGGACCUGAUCUCACACUUGUUCUCGUCCUCCGUCCCCAAGUUGAAGAUCGCCCCUCACUGUGGUCCCAUGCCACGGUGGAGAGGUUCACCAAUGUCGACAUCGCCCUGGAUCGCACCAGGCGAGGUUUACCAACGCUGCCACGGCGGGACAGUAGCUUUAGGACGUCGCCGGCCCGUUGUUCCCAAACCCAGCGUCGUCUUCCCAAACCCCGCUGAUCACCGCCGACCUCUCCAACCCUAGUAUCCUCCUCGGUGUCGCUGCCACGCUCUGAUCCAGAUCGUGAUCCCCCUCCGCCACCCUUUACCUAGCUCCGCCGGAUCCACUCUUCUCGGCCACCAUUGCCUUCUCUCCGGCACUUCUAGCCUCUCGUAUGCUCUUCGUUUCCAAUUCGGGUGGACAAUAAAUUUCAACUUCUUUGGUGAUUGGUAGUUUUUGGCUUCACAGACUUCAUAGGAUCCUCAACUUGAAUUUGUAUGGAUUAUUGUAUUUUUGGUAUGAAUGGAAUGAUGGAUAUUGGAUAUUUAAUGGGAUAAUUUGUUUUAUAGAUCAUUUGUAUGGAU